GGGGCCGAUCAGCAUCGACAGACGUGUAAAGGUGUCUGCUUUCUCUCGGCUUGGCCCACCGUUUCGGGCCUUUAUCUAAAUGCGAACGAUAACUUCGCUGAAGAGUUCGCCGUCGCUGCGUAAUGCGGUGCAGGUGAAUUCGCCUCUUAAGUCCUAGGGGUUCAGAUCCCUAGGCGGGGCCCGGAGGGAGCCUGCCAACAGAAUCCCUCCACC
rnacentral:tmRNA from 3 species